rnacentral:rRNA from 1 species
GACGAACGCUGGCGGCGUGCUUAACACAUGCAAGUCGAACGGAAAGGCCCCUUUGGGGGUACUCGAGUGGCGAACGGGUGAGUAACACGUGAGUAACCUGCCCUUGACUUCGGGAUAACUUCAGGAAACUGGGGCUAAUACCGGAUAGGAAUCCUUGCUGCAUGGUGGGGGUUGGAAAGCUUCGGCGGUUUUGGAUGGACUCGCGGCUUAUCAGCUUGUUGGUGGGGUAGUGGCUUACCAAGGCUUUGACGGGUAGCCGGCCUGAGAGGGCGACCGGCCACAUUGGGACUGAGAUACGGCCCAGACUCCUACGGGAGGCAGCAGUGGGGAAUAUUGCACAAUGGGCGGAAGCCUGAUGCAGCAACGCCGCGUGCGGGAUGACGGCCUUCGGGUUGUAAACCGCUUUCAGCAGGGGCGAAGCUUGCGGUGACGGUACCUACAGAAGAAGCACCGGCUAACUACGUG